rnacentral:rRNA from 1 species
GACGAACGCUGGCGGCGUGCUUAACACAUGCAAGUCGAGCGGUAAGGCCCUUUCGGGGGUACACGAGCGGCGAACGGGUGAGUAACACGUGGGUGACCUGCCCUCAGCUCUGGGAUAAGCCUGGGAAACUGGGUCUAAUACCGGAUAUGACUCCAUGACGCAUGUUGUGGGGUGAAAGCCUUGUGCGGCCAGGGAUGGGCCCGCGGCCUAUCAGCUUGUUGGUGGGGUGAUGGCCACCAAGGCGACGACGGGUAGCCGGCCUGAGAGGGCGACCGGCCACACUGGGACUGAGACACGGCCCAGACUCCUACGGGAGGCAGCAGUGGGGAAUCUUGCGCAAUGGGCGAAAGCCUGACGCAGCGACGCCGCGUGGGGAUGACGGCCUCGGUG